rnacentral:rRNA from 1 species
ACGAGUGUCUCAUACCGAGAGGGGCCAGAAACCCAAGGCUCACAGCCUAAAGAUGAGCUCGCGUCUGAUUAGCUAGUAGGUGGGGUAAAAGCCUACCUAGGCGACGAUCAGUAGCUGGUCUGAGAGGAUGAUCAGCCACACUGGGACUGAGACACGGCCCAGACUCCUACGGGAGGCAGCAGUGGGGAAUUUUCCGCAAUGGGCGAAAGCCUGACGGAGCAAUACCGCGUGAGGGAGGAAGGCUCUUGGGUUGUAAACCUCUUUUCUCAAGGAAUAAAAAAAUGACGGUACUUGAGGAAUAAGCAUCGGCUAACUCCGUGCCAGCAGCCGCGGUAAUACGGAGGAUGCAAGCGUUAUCCGGAAUGAUUGGGCGUAAAGGGUCCGCAGGUGGCUGUGUAAGUCUGCUGUUAAAGAGCGAAGCUCAACUUUGUAAAAGCAGUGGAAACUACACGGCUAGAGUGCGUUCGGGGCAGAAGGAAUUCCUGGUGUAGCGGUGAAAUGCGUAGAGAUCAGGAAGAACACCGGUGGCGAAAGCGUGCUGCUAGGCCGCAACUGACACUGAGGGACGAAAGCUAGGGGAGCGAAUGGGAUUAGAUACCCCCGUUAAUUCAAAUAGGACGGGGGGGGUAACUAAUGCCCAUUGAUCACGUUAUACAGCCGUGUACAGGAGACGGGGGUAUCUUAACCCCUUUUCCGCGUGUCCCCCCCCUGAGGAUAUCGGGGGAUACCUCCCCAUCUCCGCGGACACCCAACCAAGAAAAAGGAAGUCAACUACUCCAAGAGUCUA